UAGGGAGUGUUCAUUAUUUAUACCCGGGGUUGGUACCGAAGAGAAACUAAUCGAAAAGAGAAAAAAACAACCACCCACCCUUUCAAUCAGCCAUUUUUUUCCCUACCCAACUAUUGCAUGACUUGGAUUUUUAUUUUACCCAACCCAAUUUCAAAAUUAUACAAGUAUUUUACAUAUAUACAUAUAUAUUAUUAUACAAGCUAGGCCACCAUAGUAUAAACAGUACUAUGCAUAUUUGGCGCAAUAACUGAAUGUCAAAUAUAAUCAUUUGUACCUUCACAAGUUCAUAUUAUGUUCCCAAGCCUCCAAGUUCCUGCAGUCCUACCAUAUCUCGUUGUUGUAAUCAGAGGGGAUGGGGAGUUGGAGUUUAGUUUUCUUUGUGGGGAAUGAAUGGAUAUUUCCUGGAAUGACCCAUUUUGUUAAAUAAAGGAUUUUCAUAUUUUGUUCAAUUGAAGGUUUGUAUUGAAAAUAAUUUACCCAACCAUAGGCUUUGUUCAAAAAAUAUUUACCCAACCCUUCAUACCCCAGAAAAAUGGCUUACCCAACCC